GACGAACGCUGGCGGCGUGCCUAAUACAUGCAAGUAGAACGCUGAAGGAGGAGCUUGCUUCUCUGGAUGAGAUGCGAACGGGUGAGUAACGCGUAGGUAACCUGCCUGGUAGCGGGGGAUAACUAUUGGAAACGAUAGCUAAUACCGCAUAAUAGUAGAUGUUGCAUGACAUUUGCUUAAAAGGUGCAAUUGCAUCACUACCAGAUGGACCUGCGUUGUAUUAGCUAGUUGGUGGGGUAACGGCUCACCAAGGCGACGAUACAUAGCCGACCUGAGAGGGUGAUCGGCCACACUGGGACUGAGACACGGCCCAGACUCCUACGGGAGGCAGCAGUAGGGAAUCUUCGGCAAUGGACGGAAGUCUGACCGAGCAACGCCGCGUGAGUGAAGAAGGUUUUCGGAUCGUAAAGCUCUGUUGUAAGAGAAGAACGAGUGUGAGAGUGGAAAGUUCACACUGUGACGGUAUCUUACCAGAAAGGGACGGCUAACUACGUG
rnacentral:rRNA from 1 species